GUAUUGCAUAAUGAACGUUUUUAAACGUACCAACCGACAUCUCAUUGCACGGUGGUUUUGAAUGUGGGUGUCUCUGCCAAAAUUAUGAGAAAU
rnacentral:ncRNA from 1 species